GUGAACCGAGCAUACACUCUCGUUUUCUUUCAGAGCGGCCAUAUUGUCGGCGGCAAGGGGGUCUGUGGAGUUCGCAGCGGGCGUCCUGAGGGGAGAAGAAGCGGCUUUAGGAAGCCGGGUUCAAAAUGUCGGCGUGAGGGGGAAGAGAAGACUGGGAGAGAAAAGAGCCGGAGGAUGCGGCUGAGGAAAGAAGCGAAUGUCGUUCAGCGAUAAUAGGGGCGAGGGUCAAAAGCCCUCGGUGUGCGUUCGUUCAGGUGUUCUCUCUUGUCAACCAUUUUGAGGCCCACUCAACACAUGCCUUCAGUGCAACUCUGCAUCUCUACUCAGAAGUAAGUCCCACAGAGCUUACUUGCAGGAAUUGUUGCCUGGAAGUGAAGAACCUGUGACAAGUAAUCAGAGGCUGCAAAUGUGUAUGUGAGACCUGGGCCAUUUUGUUUUGGGAAUGUCUCCUCCAGGCCAGAGAUCUUUAAGCUUCUUGCUUCUUAGUCUUUUUGUCCAUGGUAUUGUAAAAAUUUCAGCUUUGCACACACAGUUAUUUAUUGAAUGUCUAUUCUGCCCUUCCUCCCGGAGGAGCCAGGGGUGGCAAACAGAACCAAAACAAUUUGACAAGGAAAAACAAAAGCAUAUGAGAAACAGUUUAAAAUGUUGCAAAACACAAUUGCAGUUAAGCAUUCUAAAACGCAGUUAAAAACAUUCUUUCAUCCGGGAAGACUGCCAGGAACAAUCCCCUUCAGCCACCAACUGCCUGGGUAAACAGAAAUGUUUUCAAAUUCCUCCUGAAAGUCAGUAGUGAUGGAGACAGAUGCACCUCGCGGGAGGGCCACCACUGAAAGGCCCUGUCACAGGGCAGUGUAAACUGGAGAGCACUCAGUGGCAGCACCACCAAUAAGGCCUCACCUGCCAAUCAUAGGGUCUGAGGUGGUUGACAUUGGAUAUGAAGACUAUAGGAGAGAAGAAAAACACUGCUUUACUCCUUUGUUAAUUCAUCUUCUAUUGUUUAUGCCAGGAGUGACUAGCCCGUGGCCCACCAAGCCACAGGAACUGGCCUGCCAGCACCCAUCAUCGCCACCACAGCUUUAUCUCCUGAUCUCUGAUAGGGAGAUAAAUUGUUCUGUAUGAACUUUAGAAAAGACCUCUAAACAGCAAGCAGAAGGCUUUUUAUGUCUCUGAUGAGACAAAUAAUUGGGUGUUAGAACAAAUUAAAGCAGAACUGUCACUGGACUUUGGAUACAUCAUGAGAAGACAUGAUUCACUAGAAAAGACAAUGAUUCUGGGGAAAACAGAAGGGAGUAGAAAAAGAGGAAGGCCAAACAAGAGAUGGAUUGAUUCCACAAAGGAAGCCACAGACCUGAACUUACAAGAUCUGAACAGGGUGGUUCACAACAGAUACUGUUGGAUAUUGCUGAUAUAUAGGGUUGCCAUAAGUCGUAAUUGACUUGAAGGCACAUAACAACAACAACAAAGAACAAAUUAAACCACAACUGUCACUAGAAGCUAAAAUGAUGAAACUGAGGUUAUCAUACUUUGGACACAUCAUGAGAAGACAUGAUUCACUAGAAAAGACAAUAAUUCUGGGGAAAACAGAAGGGAGUAGAAAAAGAGGAAGGCCAAACAAGAGAUGGAUUGAUUCCACAAAGGAAGCCACAGACCUGAACUUACAAGAUCUGAUCAGGGUGGUUCAUGACAGAUGCUCUUGGAGGUCACUGAUUCAUAGGGUUGCCAUAAGUCGUAAUAGACUUGAAGGCACAUAACAACAACAAAACCCCAGCACUGAGACUGAAAACAUCAGCUUUUACUUUGCACAAAAAGGCUGUGUUUCGAGCUCUCCCAAUUACUGGAGUGGGAAGGGCUAGAAAUGUUGGUAGUCUGUGUGUGCAUCUGCACGUUUGUUUGCGUGUGAUGAUAUAUGUACGAGUGUGGCUGCAUGUCUGGUGUUUGUACAUGCAUGUGCAUACAUUGACCCCCUUCACAACAGGCACAUGGAACUCAGAGGGGUGGCUGACUGUCAGUGGGGCCCUUGGGCUGAAAAAAGUUAACCAUCCCUGGUUUACACAAAAUAAUAUAAUGAAGUAGUCCCGUUUUUAAUCCUGAAUGUGCAUUUGGGAUUUGAAAUGUUAUACGCAUGCUGAGCCAGUUAAUGGAAAAAGUAGGGUAUAAUCCAGUGGUGGUGGUAUGGCCAUGUUAAACUGAUUAGCAGACAUGCAGCACAGUUCUAUGUGUGUUUACUCAGAAGUAAUCCCCACUGUGUUCAGUGGGGCUUUCUCCCAAAUUAGAAUGCCUAGGAUUGCAGCCUUACACAGGAAGCUCCAUUAAACAGUCUUGCUUGUGGGUGAACAUGCAGAGUAUUGAAUUGUUACUGAGCCAGGUGUCUUGCAUGGGGCAUGGAACAGGCUUGCAAAAUAAAUCCACCAAAGCUACUAGCCGACCUGUCUAGAAAUCCUUGGCUGUAGUACAUUGGUAGGCUGGGUAGGUGGAGCUCUUUGAUCUGCAGAAGUGUCUUUCUAGCUGAGUGGCUACAGAGUUGAUUCCAAGUUUUUUCCUUACGUCACAAGCAACCAGCACACUGCCCGCUCGUGAACUAGUCAAGUAAUUAGUCCCAUAGUAUCCUAUUAAUAUUUCUUUUUUAGAAACUGCAUUGUUCCUUAAGUCCUAUAGGCUCACUUGCAGAAAAACUUACUUUACACUGCACAGUUUUGUUUGACACUGCACAAGAUGUGUCUAGCUGCACAUUAAAAUAAACCCUGAGGGGCUACAUGACAACAUUAAGGGGUAGCGGGAAACCUGUGGACCUCCACGCAUUGCUGGACACCCAUCAGCCCCAACCAGGCAUGGCCAAUGGUCAGUGAUGAAGGGUGUUUUAGUCCAACAUCACCUGGAGGAGACAUGGGUUCUCCACUCCUGGACUAAAGCAAUUAAUGAGAAAUACAGAGUGUUUAAUGUUUAGAUCUGCAUUCUCUUUCAGGAAUUACCCAAGCAGAGAACAUGAAAUGUGGCUUCUACGCAUACGCCUUUGUCUCUUAAUGGUCUCGUGCUAGAGAGUUUUGUGAUUGAGGCUUUAUUCAUCCUUUCUGAACAAUGGCCUGGAUGGAAAAGAGUGUGCUGCUUAGCCCCUAAUCCAACAGGAUUUGAAGUGACGAUGCAGUAAUUUUAUCAUGGCCAGUUGGGAAGAAGUAAUUUUUUCAGAAUGUUUCCAUCUGUAAACACUUCACACAGCCCUUGUUUGUUCAUCAUUGGUCCCUUUCCCUUAAUAGCAAGUACAUCUGUAACACCUGGGGGAAAAGUUUAUGGGGUCUAUAAAAUCUAAAAACAUCCUGUUUUAAGAUUCUUUAAAUUAUAUCUCGCCUCAACUCUGCAGUGGCAAUCCAUUCGUAAGUAGAAGGUGGUAAGUAUUUUGAAAGCACUGCUGGUGUUUCCUUUUUGUAAAAUAAUGUCUGUUAAAAGUUCACUGAACUUUGGCCAAUACAUUAUUACAGGCAAAUUAGGUACUUUUACAUAGGGUCAGUCAUCAAUCCAUGUAUUGUCUCCUCUGACUGCCAGUGGUUAUUCAGGGUCUAUGGUUGGUGGUUUUUCUGAUCUCUGCUAUGCGGGAUCUUUGAAAUGUGGGUGCCGGGGAUUGAACCCUAGACCUUGUGAGUGCAAAGGAAGUGCUGUACAACUUAGCUACUUUGACAUUUUGGAUGGUGCUAUUGUCGAUAGUUCCAUCAGUGUACUAGAGAGUGGUGCCGCUACAGAGGAGCGUAAGCAGAAAUAAAGGCCAUAUCCUUAUGCCCAAGGGGUUCGCAUCCUAACUCAACAGUGGAUGGGGGUGGACUAAAGACAAAAGGUUGAAGUGGGACAGAGCCAAGGAUUGUGCUAUGAAUUGGAAACUGGAUGCUCUUGCCUUCCCCCAUGUUGCUAACCAGGAGGUGUUUGUCUCCAGAGUAGUGGCUUCUGCUUUGAGAGAUGGCCCUACAUUCUCCUUUGCUUCCUCAAAGUCAUCCUGCAAAUCUAGUUGCUGACCAGACAACAUAACACCCUGAAUUGUACAGGAGCAAAUGUAAGAAUAAGGUGGUUCUUCA